rnacentral:miRNA from 1 species
ACUUCAGGUGCUUUGAAUCA